rnacentral:rRNA from 1 species
GACGAACGCUGGCGGCGUGCUUACACAUGCCAGUCGAACGGAAAGGCCCUGCUUUUGUGGGGUGCUCGAGUGGCGAACGGGUGAGUAACACGUGAGUAACCUGCCCUUGACUUUGGGAUAACUUCAGGAAACUGGGGCUAAUACCGGAUAGGAGCUCCUGCUGCAUGGUGGGGGUUGGAAAGUUUCGGCGGUUGGGGAUGGACUCGCGGCUUAUCAGCUUGUUGGUGGGGUAGUGGCUUACCAAGGCUUUGACGGGUAGCCGGCCUGAGAGGGUGACCGGCCACAUUGGGACUGAGAUACGUCCCAGACUCCUACGGGAGGCAGCAGUGGGGAAUAUUGCACAAUGGGCGGAAGCCUGAUGCAGCAACGCCGCGUGCGGGAUGACGGCCUUCGGGUUGUAAACCGCUUUCGCCUGUGACGAAGCGUGAGUGACGGUAAUGGGUAAAGAAGCACCGGCUAACUACGUG